GGCGUUUGCUGGCUCUUUAACGAGGGUAAGUGCAAGAGGGGUUCGGCCUGUCGAUUUAAGCACGAGUGCUGGGGGCGCCCAUGGCCUCCACAGGUGGUGCUUUAAAAGUGGAAACGGAGGGGCCAUCUCUGGGGCGGCUGGUGCAGCCUCCGUUGCCCAGGGGCUUAACAACGGUGAAACAUGACUCAAUGCUACCGUGGCUAAGCCACUACAGUAACAAGGGAGCUGCAGAGCUGUUACAGUCGGGUUUUGAGGUGGGUUUCCUUAUU